UUCUUAUCAAGAGUGGUGGAGGGACUGGCCCAAUGAAACCCGGCAACCUAAUGGGAAAACCUAUAGGUGCUAAAUCCUGUAGCAAUAGCUAAGAGAUAAGAG
rnacentral:ncRNA from 1 species